rnacentral:lncRNA from 1 species
AGGUAGCAAUUGUGUAGCAAUUAAGUAGCUCAGAAUAAGACCUCCAAAGACAGUUAUUAAACCAACUGGGAUAAAGGCAAGAAGGGGUGCUAAUUCUACCUAGCUUAACAGCAGUAUAAUUUUUCUGGCAUUGUUCUACAAUUUGAAAGUGGGUAGGAGCUCCAGCUGAUACAAAGCAGAAUGGUGGCAGGUGAUGCAGAACAGGUGACUGCUGAUGCUGCCUUAGGAGGAUCAGCAUCUCACCCAAGCCUUUGCUGGGAUGGGCAGCCUUUCCUCCUUAGCAAAGAAGGAUCCAGUCCUGCUGGGUUCCUAUGCUCUCCUAGCAGGCAGGAGGCAGAACAUUCCCCUGAGGAGGCCGAACAUUCCCCUGAGGAGGCCAGUGCUGGGCCAAUCUCUUCUCUUUGGUGCCUCAGAUUUACACAGCCUUUGGGCUUAUAUAUAUCUGCUCCACUGUGUUGGGUUCUAUUCCCCAAGUUUACCUCAUGAUCCAUGGAUGCUUCAGCUUUAGUCCUCAUGUCUGCAUUCUAGCCAGCAGGAAGGAGAAAAAGGGAAGAUAAUUUCCUGCCUCUUCCUUUAAUGACAUCUUGAAAUUGCACACACCACUUCUGUCAAUAUCCAACUGGCCAGAACCUAGUGACAUGGCUUCACAAAGCUGUGAAGGGGCCUGUUUGCCAAAUGAGACAAAAGGGGCACCUGGAAAUAAAAAUUACAGUAAAUGACAAAUGAGUCAGGAGCGGUGGGAUAGAAUAAGCACAGAACCUGGGGGAAGAAGGCAGCAGGGCUCUGGGCUGAACAUCCGGACUUUUCCCUGGGCAUCUGCAGACCUGGGAAGGAGAAACUGAGGAGCAGAAGGUUAUCCCUGGCAGAGAUGGGCCAAGGUAGUCAAGGUAGGUUGGCAACGUCUCUUUCUGCAGGCUUCAUGAUUGGAGCUUCAGAGGUAAUGGCACAUAAUAUAAACACUGUUUUGUUCUGGUACUAUCUCAUCAUAGGUGGUAAUGCUGUUGGCAGCCAGGUUAUAUCCUCCAUGGUAUACCUCACUCACAGGAGGCAGAAACAUAAAAAGAGUUGUUUCCAGGAACGUUGAAAGUUUCUACUUUCCUGUCCUCUUGCAGACUGCUCUCUGCCUCGGUGGGAUCUAGCACAAGGUGUGUGGGGGCGGGCGAAGGGGUGGUGUGUGUGUGUGUGUGUGUGUGUGUGUAGGGGCUGUUGCUGAAAGGAUCUCCCUUCUUUAAAGCCUUCGCUUUUACUCUUGGCAUCAUCACCACAUGAUGUUCUAACGCAGUUGUAUUUGUCUUCAUUUUUAUAAGUAUUGAAAGUGUUUAUCGUUAAAUGUUAUAUUUGAAAAAUUGUUUUGUCAUUUCUUAAUUAAAAAAAAAUUUUUUUUAUACAUAGAGGCUCAAAAACGGAAGUGACUCAUGUCUGCCUGUGUCCACCCUUCCGGUUUUAUCUUGGCAUUUCCGCUAUCUCACCC